AUUGAACGCUGGCGGCAUGCCUUACACAUGCAAGUCGAACGGUAGAGGGCUUCGGCCCUUGAGAGUGGCGAACGGGUGAGUAAAGCAUCGGAACGUACCCUGUCGAGGGGGAUAACGUAGCGAAAGUUACGCUAAUACCGCAUAAGACCUGAGGGUGAAAGUGGGGGACUGGAAACGGCCUCACGCGAUGGGAGCGGCCGAUGUCGGAUUAGCUAGUUGGUGGGGUAAAGGCCUACCAAGGCGACGAUCCGUAGCGGGUCUGAGAGGAUGAUCCGCCACACUGGGACUGAGACACGGCCCAGACUCCUACGGGAGGCAGCAGUGGGGAAUUUUGGACAAUGGGCGCAAGCCUGAUCCAGCCAUGCCGCGUGGGUGAAGAAGGCCUCGGUUGUAAG
rnacentral:rRNA from 1 species